rnacentral:rRNA from 1 species
UACGUAGGGUGCGAGCGUUGUCCGGAAUUAUUGGGCGUAAAGAGCUCGUAGGCGGUCUGUCGACGGUCUGCCUGUGAAAACCCCGAGGCUUAACCUCGGGCCUGCCAGUGGGUACGGGCAGACUAAGAGUGCGGUAGGGGAGAAUGGAAUUCCUGGUGUAGGCGGUGAAAAUGCGCAGAUAUCAGGAGGAACACCGGUGGCGAAGGCGGGUCUCUGGGCCGUAACUGACGCUGAGGAGCGAAAGCAUGGGGAGCGAACAGG